UACGGGGGGAGCAAGCGUUGUUCGGAUUUACUGGGCGUAAAGGGCGCGUAGGCGGCCACCGCAAGUCGAUUGUGAAAUCUCCGGGCUUAACUCGGAAAGGUCAACUGAUACUGUGCGACUAGAGUGCGGAAGGGGCAACUGGAAUUCUCGGUGUAGCGGUGAAAUGCGUAGAUAUCGAGAGGAACACCUGCGGCGAAGGCGGGUUGCUGGGCCGACACUGACGCUGAUGCGCGAAAGCCAGGGGAGCGAACGGG
rnacentral:rRNA from 1 species